AUUGAACGCUGGCGGCAUGCCUUACACAUGCAAGUCGAACGGCAGCACGGGAGCUUGCUCCUGGUGGCGAGUGGCGAACGGGUGAGUAAAGCAUCGGAACGUGCCCUGAAGUGGGGGAUAACGUAGCGAAAGUUACGCUAAUACCGCAUAUUCUGUGAGCAGGAAAGCAGGGGAUCUUCGGACCUUGUGCUUUAGGAGCGGCCGAUGUCGGAUUAGCUAGUUGGUGAGGUAAAGGCUCACCAAGGCGACGAUCCGUAGCGGGUCUGAGAGGAUGAUCCGCCACACUGGGACUGAGACACGGCCCAGACUCCUACGGGAGGCAGCAGUGGGGAAUUUUGGACAAUGGGCGCAAGCCUGAUCCAGCCAUGCCGCGUGAGUGAAGAAGGCCUC
rnacentral:rRNA from 1 species